rnacentral:rRNA from 1 species
ACGAAUACCGAAGAAUGUUAUCACGGGAGACACACGGCGGGUGCUAACGUCCGUCGUGAAGAGGGAAACAACCCAGACCGCCAGCUAAGGUCCCAAAGUCAUGGUUAAGUGGGAAACGAUGUGGGAAGGCACAGACAGCCAGGAUGUUGGCUUAGAAGCAGCCAUCAUUUAAAGAAAGCGUAAUAGCUCACUGGUCGAGUCGGCCUGCGCGGAAGAUGUAACGGGGCUAAACCAUG